rnacentral:lncRNA from 1 species
GGAGACUCCAGGUGCAGGAGAGGGGGAGGUGGACUUCCUCUUGGUCUUCCCAAGCCAUGAAACUUCCUGGCUUGGUGGUAACAGAAGAGUCUCCUCCAGUUCCCUUGAAGAAUCCACCUUCCUGCAGGGUUGGGGGAGCGCAGAAUGGGAGGAAGAUACAAAUACCAAUUUUAUAGCAAGAAUGCAAAAAGAGGCCAGCGCGGUGGCUCGAGCCUGGAAUCCCAGCACUUUGGAAGGCGAGCUGGGCGGAUCACUUGAGAUGUGACCAGGUGACCCCCCUCUGGCCAGGGAACAAUGGGCCGAAGUCCUCAGGGGAUUUGUGGGGAAGCGCGCCCCCUCCUCCUUGGGGUUUUCUUGCGGAGCUGCUGUGAAGACUCAGCUCAGCUGUGAUAAUUACCUGAGGUCAGCUUCUCCAGAAUGCCCUUAUCUCCUAAGGCCUUUGAGAUAAGCAGGAAUUGUGGUGUCUGCCUUGCCUCCAAACCUUUAUCCUUGCUUAUCUCAGUGGAAAAUUCCAGCAGGGAUUUCUGAACACCAAGUUAAAUUCCUCCACUCAACAAUCAGUUUGGCACGUGGCUGCCCGCCAGUCUGGGCAGAACAGAGGGGAGCCAAGGGAAUAAACCCAAGUCCUGCCCCCAGGUGCCCAGAGCCUGGCGGGGAUGGGACAGUUGCCUGCAGAGCAAGAGGCUGCCACCCAGUUUCACACAGGCCAGAGAGGCUGACCUACCUGCCCAGAGGCAGGGGAAGAAUCCAGAGGACCUCUCCCGGAGGAGGCACGAGAAGCCCACGUGGCAGCCAAGAAGAGGGAGAGCAUCCUGGGCCCCGGAAGCACAAUGCCAGGGGCAGACAUGCACUGGGAGGCACGGGGCCAGGGACACCUUCAGUGAGCACAGGGUCUGGGUAGGCUUCGGGAGGGGUGAGGGCGGAGAGGCAGCCAAGCCGGGUUGUGGGAGGCCCUGCCUAAUUCUGUAAAGACUAGGAUUAGAAACAUGACAAAAAUGGGUUAGGCACGGUGGCUCACACCUGUUAUCCACUUUGGGAGGCUGAGGCUGGUGGAUCAUCUGAGGCUGGGAGUUCAAGACCAACCUGGCCAACAUGGUGAAACCCCGUCUCUACUAAAAAUACAAAAAUUAGCCGGGCGUGGUGGCGCACACCUAUUAAUCCCAGGUACUAAGGAGGUUGAGGCAGGAGAAUUGCUUCAACCCAGGAGGCAGAGGUUGCAGUGAGCCCAGACCAUGCCACUGCACUCCAGCCUGGGCAACAGAACAAGUCUCUGUCUGAAAAAUAAAAUAAAAUAACAAAAA